UACGUAGGAUGCAAGCGUUGUCCGGAUUUAUUGGGCGUAAAGAGAACGUAGGUGGUUUCUUAAGUUUGGUCUUAAAGACCGGGGCUCAACCCCGGGAAUGGAUCGAAUACUGGGAGACUAGAGGAUGUUAGAGGAAAGUGGAAUUCCAAGUGUAGCGGUGAAAUGCGUAGAUAUUUGGAGGAACACCAGUGGCGAAAGCGGCUUUCUGGGACAUUCCUGACACUGAGGUUCGAAAGCUCGGGGAGCAAACAGGG
rnacentral:rRNA from 1 species